rnacentral:rRNA from 1 species
GUCUACAGCCAUGCCACCUUGAACAAGCCGGAUCCCAUCUGAUCUCAGAAGCUAAGCAGGGUCAGGCCUAGUUAGUACCUGGGUGGGAGACCAUCUAGGAAGACCAGGUGCUGUAGGCG